AAACCUGUCAUAGAUCAGAUCUUCAGGAUGUGCCCUCCCUUUGACCUGGACUCCAUCUCUUGGCUACCAGAAACAGCACUCUGUGGCUCACAAGAAAGAAAGAAGAGGAUACCACAGCACCAGAGCUUCCCCUACAUCCUAGACUCUCAUAUGCUGCCAAGGGACCAUCUCUCCUGGUCAUUCCACCCCUCUCUGCUCAGUGUCUACUCCAUUCCAGUUCCCUGGGGCCAAUUUUUUAGAGGAUGAGAGUCCAAGAAAAAGGGAAAGAGACAGAGAAGAAGAGACUCUUGCAGUACUGCUCCACCAUUCAUGAAGGUGCUUCUCCAUACCUUCCAAUGGAGAUCAGAGACCUGAACAUAGGUCCUCCCCAUGGUAACAUGUCUACUCUACAGGCGGAGCCACCCCCCUCACACUCUUAACAAGGGAAACAGAGUUCCCACUAGGG